CAUGUCUUGAAGUUCUCCAGAGGCCUGGUAAUGAACUAAUCAUUUGAUUCAGGUGUUGUUGACCCAGAAUGAGAUCUAAAACCUGCAGGACACCGGCCCUCGAGGCCUGGAGUUCCCCACCCCAGGUUUAGGCUCUAAUCAAACAUGAUUUCUGGUCAGUUUUGACAGCAGUCCAACAGUAACAGAAGACAGGACCCUCGCUGCUAGCAUCACAGUUGCUAGGCUACAGGAGCGGCGCUUUCAUAGACCGUCCCACCCGGUUCUGGCUUGUGAAGGUGUGGCCUGCAUUAGCCACGCCCUGGAUUUGGACACAGGUAACACGUGUUAAGGAUCACAGGUGAUGUGACGUGUGUGACGCAUGAUUAACUUUACUUCUGUCCUCACUUUCUUCACACCCGGCGCUCUAAUGACCUGAUAAUAUGGGGCACAGAUACACCGCCUUUAUGAAACACUGCACGCACGCACACUUUUGUUACCUCGAGAAAAAUGCAAUCACAGAGCUCUUUCAAAGAAGUCCAAGAGUGGGACUUGGAGAGAGCACGAGGCAGAUAGACUCAGAUAGUGACAAAGACAGGAAGCAGGAAUGAGAGAAAGAAAGAAAACGAGAGGUCAAGCAAGAAUAAUGAGAGAGAAAAUGAGGGAGAGAUCUCCUAAACACGGACAUAUUACGAGGAGGCGUCCAGUCUCGCAGCAGAAAGAAAGCAGCUCAUUGUCACAGCGAACGCCGAGAAAAGGAGUCCAUUGUUACGGCGGACCCAGUGACAGCUCCACAGAUAAGCCUCAUAUUUGGGAGGAGGACGAGGAUGAGGAGGUGCAGCGGCACAGUGAUGCGAUAUGAUGACUUGGGGUGAAAUGAAACUCAGAGCGAGAUGAAGGAGGACAGAGGGAGCAUGAAGGGAGGAAGUGAAGGAGGAAUGAAGGAAGGGAAAUGAUGGAGGGAGCAGAGGAGUGUAAGGAAAUGCAAAGAGGGGAGAAGUGGAGCGAGGUGAGACGCUCAGUGUGGGGCGAGUGAGAAAGGGUUGCAUUCAGAUGGUUGGGGGGGGGCAGGAAACAACCUGCAGAGGGAGAGAGGGCGAGAUGGGAAUGGCCGACUGGCACAGUCGAAGGUUUCCAACGGAAAAUAUGAAGACUGACAGACGAGCUAUAGAACGGGGGGGGCUUCGGCUGGCCAACAGGCAGGCGGAUGUUUAUGAGGGGAAAUCCAUCUUAGAGCCUAUUUUCUGCUGUUAAAAAUUCGAGGCCCCGUCCACAGCAGGCGCACUCACACUCUCGUGGUGCAGUCGAGGAAUUGGAAAUAUAUGAGCAGCGAGGGCCGCGAGCUCGCCAACUCCCAAAUGUCAGCUUGAUCGCAAAAAACAACCAGGUUUUUAAAAUGGAAAAGUUCUGAGAUCGGAAAAUGGGUUUUAAAGGCAGUUCGAUACGAACGCCGCCCUCCAAAUUCACUACAGAGACCACUCAAGCCAUUUUCACACAGGUCACCGUGGACUUUUUCCACAGUCGUCCUUCUGUCAUGCUGCACAGGAAACACAUUCAGACAUGUCUGCACUCCUGGAAAUACUCUGUUUUAGGUGAGGGGGUCUGACGAGGCACCGCUCAGGAGCUGCAACUGAAUCCGAGUAUAAGACGAGCUGUUUGCACGUCGAAGCAAUCCAACACAUGCGGACUCUGAGCCAGGCUGAGCCCAACAUCUGCACGGCAUGCACCUCUGUCUGACACCUUAAAGGCUUCGGUCAGACAAAGAGAAGAUGUGUGUUCAGAUCUGUUGGGCUGCUGCCUCUACAGCAGCACGGCAGUAAAGACGACCAGCAACAGUCACCAUUCAGAGGAGGUCAUGCUGGGAGCGAGGACUGAACCCUGGACUUUUACCCAGGAGGCAACAGCCGUUACAAUAACGAGCAGCGACGGCAGGGCCAACAGAAGUCGGCCAUUGUGGGAUUCCAGCUGUGUGGGUGAGAGAUUCAAAGGGAGGGAAGAGAAAGUUGUGCGUGCAUCAGCUGCUCCUGCAGGAGGAGAAAAGACGAGUGUGAGAAGCAGCCGAGAAAAAAGGUUGCAGGAGAGUGUGUGUCGUGUUAUGACAAGGACGAGUGGAAGGCAAGCGAGGAGCCGAGCGCACAGCUUGCGGCCUUUGCAGAGACCGUCCGAGGAGCAGGCUCGACUUAGCAAACACGACGGAGCCGAGCUUCCUGCCGUGCUACGCCGGACGCACGAGCGAGGAAAAUGAAACGGUGUAAACAAAGCCAGCCGAGA